UACGUAGGGUGCGAGCGUUUGUCCGGAAUUACUGGGCGUAAAGAGCUCGUAGGUGGUUUGUCGCGUUGUUCGUGAAAACCGGGGGCUUAACCCUCGGCGUGCGGGCGAUACGGGCAGACUUGAGUACUGCAGGGGAGACUGGAAUUCCUGGUGUAGCGGUGGAAUGCGCAGAUAUCAGGAGGAACACCGGUGGCGAAGGCGGCAUCCUGGACCAACACUGACGCUGAGGAGCGAAAGCCAGGGGAGCAAACGGG
rnacentral:rRNA from 1 species